GCACCUACUGUCUACACAGGAGUCCUGUGUCCCAGAGGUCUGACCACAACUUAUGGGCAGACGGGCCCCUGAACAGAGCUGUCCUGGAGCUCAGCCACACAGCCCAGGACAAGCAUGGGCCCACUCCGUGCUGCCAGUUCUGGACAUGGAUGGAACCCAGGGCCUCACACUGGGUAGGCAGGUGCUCUACCACUGUGCCACGCCCGGUCUGGUGAAGUGGCCCAGACUGGCUUUGAACUUGCAAAUCUCUGGUUCUGCCUCCCUAGGACCUAGGAUUACAAGCUGUACCACUGCACCGGGCUCAGCAAAUGCCUUUAUUUCUAUCUGUGUAAAAUAUUUAUAUAUGAUUAUAUAUAUUUAGAUUUACUUUA